rnacentral:ncRNA from 2 species
UUUAGUGAUAGAGGUGCGGUAUUUAAGAGUACUGAUGUUGAGGAAAGCACGAUGAGGCAUCAAGAAAGGAAAUAUCGCCGAAGCAUAUAGCUGAUGCUUUAAGGCUAUAUAGCUGGUUUUGCAUAGAAUAUAUGUAAGACUGUCACAAAGCAAUUUGUGGAGAGCUAUCAUUCAA